UACAGGGGGUGCAAACGUUGCCCGGAAUCAUUGGGCGUAAAGCGCACGUAGGCGGUCUGUUAUGUCGGAUGUGAAAGCCCUUGGCUCAACUGAGGAAGUGCAUCCGAAACUGGCAGGCUAGAGUACUAAAGAGGGUCGCGGAAUUCCCGGUGUAGAGGUGAAAUUCGUAGAUAUCGGGAGGAACACCGGUGGCGAAGGCGGCGACCUGGGUAGAUACUGACGCUGAGGUGCGAAAGCGUGGGGAGCAAACAGG
rnacentral:rRNA from 1 species